AGUAAUGGCAUUAGCAAUGGUGACACUAACGGUAAUAACUGUAUUCCAUUGGGCUGGACCCCGGCUUGUGCUUCCGAAGCAUUCUUUCCUACAUAAUCCUCACAGCUGCCCCCUCGAGAAGGCCAAGAGGGAAAAGGUGAGAAGAAUGACAACCGCCAUGAGGUCUCUCAGCUCCUGAGCAGGUGCUGGGUGUCCUGCGGUUUGCUCCACAUGCACUGAGCCCUUCUUUCAUACCAUCACCUGCCACCAUAGGUACUGUCAUUACACCCACUGGACAGAGGAGGAGACCAAGAGUUUUAUGAGGCCAUGAGUCCUGAACCAUCCAGCCUGGCUGAGGGGAAAGUCUUUGCCACCCUGCCCUUCAAGGCCUCAACCCAGCCCGACAAUAGAAACCACCAGGAAGCAUCCUGCCUAUGCUUUUCCCUCACCCUCUCUGCUUCCUGCCUAACCCCGGUGCUUCCCCGUGUGGCCCUGCAUGCCAUGGCCUGCUCCCUCCUCUUGGGAUCUGGGAGCAUAGCAAACUAGAUUUUCAGCGCAGUUGCCUCCCA